AAAUUCUCAACGAUGGAUAUCUUGGUUCCCAUAACGAUGAAGAACGCAGCGAAGUGCGAUAAGCAAUGCGAAUUGCAGAACCGUGAGUCAUCAGAUUUUUGAACGUAACUGGCGCCUAUUGGUAUUCCGAUAGGCAUGCUUGUUUCAGUA
rnacentral:rRNA from 1 species